AGAUUGUGUUCUUCUUGUCUAAAGUAUAAAGAUUUUUGUUCUGACCUAUCUCAAAGGAAAAGAGCACGUACAUCUGUCUGGAUGUUCAAAAGGCAGCAUCUUAUCUGAGCGCCACAGGUGCCUGUCUCCGUGGUCGCUGGGUGAGAGGCGGGGUCCAGCCUGGGCAGGUCGCCGGUCCAUCACAGG